AUUGAACGCUGGCGGCAUGCCUUACACAUGCAAGUCGAACGGCAGCACGGGUGCUUGCACCUGGUGGCGAGUGGCGAACGGGUGAGUAAUAUAUCGGAACGUACCUUAUUGUGGGGGAUAACGCAGCGAAAGCUGUGCUAAUACCGCAUAAUCCCUAAGGGGGAAAGCGGGGGACCGUAAGGCCUCGCGCAAUUAGAGCGGCCGAUACCUGAUUAGCUAGUUGGUGAGGUAAAGGCUCACCAAGGCAACGAUCAGUAGCUGGUCUGAGAGGACGAUCAGCCACACUGGGACUGCGACACGGGCCAGACUCCUACGGGAGGCAGCAGUGGGGAAUUUUGGACGAUGGGGGCAACCCUGAUCCAGCAAUGCCGCGUGAGUGAAGAAGGCCUUCGGGUUGUAAAGCUCUUUUGUCAGGGAAGAAACAGCAGCUCUAACACAGUAUGCGAAUGACGGUACCUGAAGAAUAAGCACCGGCUAACUACGUGCCAGCAGCCGCAGUAA
rnacentral:rRNA from 1 species